rnacentral:lncRNA from 1 species
ACGCACGCACCUCUUCCUCUUUCCUUAUCUCCUCUGGCUCUCCCCGUCCUCCCUCUUCCUCUUUCCUCACCCAGUCUCCUCUCCUCUCCCCCGAUCUACUACCUCUCCUCCGCUAGCAGGAUCGGCAGCGGCUGCCUCCAUCUCCCAGUCCUGGCCCGACUCCCAGUCCCGGCCACCAGCGACGAGGAGCCGGCACCGCCCUCCUUGCCGCCGCCCGCGACCCCGGCGACGAGGCCUGCGAGGAGGAGCCAGGCGCAGCCCUCCUUGCCGCCGCCGCCCCCGACCCCGGCCGCCGCAUCCACGGCGCCGGUGAAUCUCUUCCUCUCUCUCACCCCUUCCUCUCCCCCUCUCUCUCCCUCUCUCCGAUUUCUCUCUCUCACUCACCCUCUGAUUAUUCUCUAGCUCUUUCCGCAGGCAUGGAGAGGAGGAGGAGCCGGCCGCCGCCCCGCAGAUUCGCUAUCUCCCUCUCGGUUUCCCUCUCUUUCUUCUCUCACUCUUGCAGGACGUCGGUGUCGAGGAGCAGGUGCCGACGAGGCGGCGCGGCCGCUAUAGCAGGAGGAGCUCCACGACUACCGAGGAGGGCACUCCUCUGUCCAUCUCCAGCCGCCGCCGAUGCCUGCGUGUGCGGUGAGGUCGAUGGAAUUGGGGCUGGCCUCGUUUUUUUUUAUUUUCUCAAAUUCCCUAUCAGUGUCGGGCGUGUGCCAUGACCGCCACUGAUGAGGCGCCACAUCAGCCAGGAAUGUUGUGUGCCCGUCAGUGAUGUCGUUUUUUGCCCCUGAUGGGGUGUUUUGUAGUAGUGCCCCCCUCUCCUCCCUUCCUCCCUGCGCAAGGCAGGCGAAGGCAGAGCGGAUCCGGUCGGCACGCUCCGCCUCUCGCGCAUGGAAAACACCUUCCAAAAACGAUCCAUGCUUUAAUGUUCCAAGUUAUUUAUUAACCAUCUAUUAAUCCGUGAUUAUGCGAACAUUAUUCACCUAAUUUUUGAUUGGCGUGAAAAAUUGGUACAUAAAUCUGUACGCAAAUCUGAAGUAAGAACCAGAGAAUAUCCACAGAAAUUUCAUGUGCAGAUUAGAGACCGGGAGAAAUUGUGUGCGGUCGAAAAUACAAAUCAUUUGGAUUCACGGAGAAGAACACGGCGUUGCAAGCCAUGGAGUUGGAAGCCAUGUGUGAUAGUAUAUUGUCUAGUGCUAAUUUAACUCGGAGGAGAUCGAGCUGCUAUUUGAUGAUUCUUGUUGCCGUCGAGGGUGGCUAUAUAUAGGAGAGGGGGGCUGGAGCUCGGUGCCACAGUUGUAAUUCAAUUGCCAUUGAUGGAAUGAUAAUGUAAUCCUCUUGAAACGGUCCUGUUAGUUUUUUUCUAAAUGGGGACCUGGUGGUCACCCGUCGACUCCAAUUAAGCUUGGCUGAUACGUGUGACCGUGUUACAUAAUUCAGUUUUCAGACAUGUUUAACCUACAUGAGCGCACGACCUACCCUAGCUGUAUAUCUUGCAGUCCGGCCGGCAACGUGUGUGUGUAGCUGUGUACUGUUCUUUGAUUAUUGAUCAACGGCUUAAUUUUCUUGGCUAGCUAACUAGUGCUAGGCACGUUCUGUACAAUCUGUUAAUUCAUAUUGAUUUGAAGAAACAAAUUUGCUGGAACCAAAAAAGUCCAUGUAUUAUCUAUUAACGAAUGGAAAUGUUUAAUUCCACUCAUCCUAUUGCACGUAGGUAAGGGACUACUUUUAACAUUAACAAGCAUAGGAAACAGAGAAUGAAAAUGCUUAAAUCUGCUCAUGUCUUGUCG